CGGGGGGCUUUAAAUGGCAGUCGAACGAUGAUGGGAGCUUGCUCCUGGAUUAGUGGCGAACGGGUGAGUAACACGAGAGUAACCUGCCCUUAACUCUGGAUAAGCCUGGGAAACUGGGUCUAAUACCGGAUAUGACCUUCCAUCGCAUGGUGGUUGGUGGAAAGCUUUUGUGGUUUUGGAUGGACUCGCGGCCUAUCAGCUUGUUGGUGAGGUAAUGGCUUACCAAGGCGACGACGGGUAGCCGGCCUGAGAGGGUGACCGGCCACACUGGGACUGAGACACGGCCCAGACUCCUACGGGAGGCAGCAGUGGGGAAUAUUGCACAAUGGGCGCAAGCCUGAUGCAGCGACGCCGCGUGAGGGAUGACGGCCUUCGGGUUGUAAACCUCUUUCAGUAGGGAAGAAGCGAAAGUGACGGUACCUGCAGAAGAAGCGCCGGCUAACUACGUGCCAGCAGCCGC
rnacentral:rRNA from 1 species